UACGAAGGGGGCUAGCGUUGCUCGGAAUUACUGGGCGUAAAGGGCCAGUAGGCGGCCAACUAAGUCCGACGUGAAAUCCCAAGGCUUAACCUUGGAACUGCGUCGGAUACUGGAUGGCUUGAAUUCGGGAGAGGGAUGCAGAAUUCCAGGUGUAGCGGUGAAAUGCGUAGAUAUCUGGAGGAAUACCGGUGGCGAAGGCGGCAUCCUGGACCGACAUUGACGCUGAACGGCGAAAGCUAGGGGAGCAAACGGG
rnacentral:rRNA from 1 species